rnacentral:lncRNA from 1 species
GCGGGGACGCUAAACAUGUAUAUUCUUUUUACAUGGCCUAAACGACAAGGUAUCAGAUAUCCAUUGUUUUGACAUUCCUUUUCCCUUAGAUAUAAACACGCAAAAUCAUGCAUUUCGUGAGAAAUUAUAUGCGCGAGAAAUAUACUGGGCGAAUUGUCUGUAGGGCGAAUUUAAUCUGACCAAGAUUUUGGCCGAUUCGAAUUGCAUGCACACUCGUACUCAUGGUCAUAUGAGUAUCCGAGUACUGCUGUUUUGUGCUGUUGUGCUGAUUGCUAGCUUAGCUUUGGUUACUGAGAGUUCAAGAGUUGCAGAAAGUUAUUGACUGUUUUCAGAGUUGCAGAGAGUUGCAGAGAGUUGCAGAGAGUAAGUUGAUCUGCUUAAGAAGGCUGAAGUCAAGUAGUUUUUAAAUUAAAGCUACAAUGGAAUGAAACAGAUCUGCAUAAUUGGGAACAUAAUUGAACGCGGAAUAGGAAAGCUAUGGCUUAAUGAAAUUUCUAUAUAACAUUUUUGACACUUCCGUAGGUAUGCAACAUAAUUUUGUGGACAAUUCAUAAUACUCUUCCAUUGGGUGUAGCCAAAAUUUGAAGAGAAUCCAUAGUGAAUUAUGUAAGGAGUUGAUAAAGAA